CUACAUGUUAUAUGUAUGUACUAUUUUUUAUACUGUAUAUCAGUAGUUGGUAAGAAGGUAGUCAUGUUAACAUAUAAUAAUUUCGUACAUAAACCGAAAAUACAGAUGAUUAAUUAUUCGGUAAUAUUUUUGUAUUUGUAUUUUAUCAUGCUCUCUGCAAUUUAUGUUGACAAAGAAAAUAAGUAAUGUGCAAUUUAUUCCGACAACAAUCUGUUGAUUUAACUGCUUUGAAAUGAAAAUCAAAGUUGCAGAUAACUUUUUAUACUCGAUAGAUUCAGUGUAUAUAAAGUACGAAUACACUGAGAUUGGUAUACUUACACCGAUUGAAUAUAAAUGGUCAAGUCACAAAUCAAUAUAUAAGUCAGAACUAGACGAAAAUAGCAUAGAUUCGCUAAAAAUGUCAACGGGAAGAGUAGUCUCAAUGUGACGAUUCGUUACAACACCAACAUAAAAAAUCAUUAAUGCAAUCCAUGUACGUUUAACAUUUUGUGUGCUAAACGACGGUGAAAAAGAUUAGUUGUAAAAAAAAAAUCAAAAAUUAGCUAACACAUCUUCGCCACUUUUUUCGUAAGAUUAUAUCACUUACAGUUUGUUGUCUCACCAAAAGUGAACGUAACAAAACGCGAGACAAAGGGAUAUUCUGCACUUUGUAUAACGAUUCGUUAUCUUACGUCAAUCAUAUGUCCAUUGUCUAAAAUCACUUUUCAUGGUUCCUAAAUUACUUAAACGGAAAAAAACGUUUUAUCAUAUGCCUUUCUCAUUCAAGGAACCAUUCAAUGAUAUCAGAGGGACGGGUCAGUUCAUUCUUAAUUCUAUAUCUUUAAUAAAUGCCCAUCCUUUUGUAUCGGUCAAAAUUAUUUUCACCAUCUAUAAAUAUAAUCAAAUCCAGUACUGUUAGCUUCUCUUUCUUUGUGAACAUUUGAGUAUGAGAUAUCGUUAUUCGAAUUUUAUGCACCAUUUAGAAAUGUGUCUUCAAUGUACUAUUCUUACUGCAGAACUUUCAUUUCAUAAACAUUCAUACAUGAUUAUUAUAACCAAUAUAUCUCUUACCUCCC
rnacentral:lncRNA from 1 species